GAGCCUACGGGACGCAGCAGUGGGGAAUAUUGCGCAAUGGGCGAAAGCCUGACGCAGCGACGCCGCGUGAGGGAUGAAGGUCUUCGGAUCGUAAACCUUUGUCAGCAGGGAAGAACGGUCACUGUGCUAAUCAGCAGUGAAUUGACGGUACCUGCAAAGGAAGCACCGGCUAACUCCGUGCCAGCAGCCGCGGUAAUACGGAGGGUGCGAGCGUUAAUCGGAAUUACUGGGCGUAAAGCGCUCGUAGGCGGUAUGUCAAGUCAAGGGUGAAAUCCACGGGCUCAACCCGUGAACUGCAUUUGAAA
rnacentral:rRNA from 1 species